rnacentral:lncRNA from 1 species
AAAAAAAAGAGAAAAGAAAAACAAAAGAGAAAAAUGCACUUGCCGAGACUUAAGACUCUAACACAUAUAAAAUGCUCGAAAAAUUUGAGUAGAAAAAGAGUCAAAAGAGUGAAAUUAACCCCCAGAGUAUACGUGAUGCACGAGAAAAAGAGAAAGAAAAAUCACACAACAUGACUACCGAGUUCAAAACCCUUUGUUAUCCAUUUUUUUUGUUUAUCCCACC